GUGGGGAAUAUUGGACAAUGGGCGAAAGCCUGAUCCAGCAAUGCCGCGUGAGUGAUGAAGGCCUUAGGGUUGUAAAGCUCUUUUACCCGGGAUGAUAAUGACAGUACCGGGAGAAUAAGCUCCGGCUAACUCCGUGCCAGCAGCCGCGGUAAUACGGAGGGAGCUAGCGUUGUUCGGAAUUACUGGGCGUAAAGCGCACGUAGGCGGCUUUGUAAGUUAGAGGUGAAAGCCUGGAGCUGAACUCCAGAACUGCCUUUAAGACUGCAUCGCUUGAAGCCAGGAGAGGUGAGUGGAAUUCCGAGUGUAGAGGUGAAAUUCGUAGAUAUUCGGAAGAACACCAGUGGCGAAGGCGGCUCACUGGACUGGUAUUGACGCUAAGGUGCGAAAGCGUGGGGAGCAAACAGGAUUAGAUACCCUUGUAGUCC
rnacentral:rRNA from 1 species